rnacentral:rRNA from 1 species
GUUGCCAUCAUUCAGUUGGGCACUCUAGCGAGACUGCCGGUAAUAAACCGGAGGAAGGUGGGGAUGACGUCAAUCAUCAUGCCCUUAUGACCUGGGCUACACACGUGCUACAAUGGUUGGUACAACGAGUUGCGAGUCGGUGACGGCGAGCUAAUCUCUUAAAGCCAAUCUCAGUUCGGAUUGUAGGCUGCAACUCGCCUACAUGAAGUCGGAAUCGCUAGUAAUCGCGGAUCAGCACGCCGCGGUGAAUACGCUCCCGGGCCUU